AACUGUUUUUCAUAUAUUAGUGCUAUGACCCAGAAUCUGCCCCACCUAAAUUAACGGUAAGGAGCCACUAAUGGUGGUGUGUUUUCUCACAUUUGCAAUGAUCUUGUGUACUGGAAAUGCAUGUUCUAGAUAAGGGAACACUUCCUGUCUCUUUUCGGUUGAGACGUGCAGCACAGCCACCCUGAAACUUUGAUGAAGGAUCAGAAAGAUACAGACAACACAUCCUGAAAGACAAGACCAGAGUUUCAAUGUUAAGCAGUUCCAUCUAAAGAGUGAAACUUCAAAUUGGAUAAAGAGAAUGACAAAGAAAAAACAACAACACAUAUGGGCACACAACAUCACCCGUACGCAUCACCUGCACAAACUGGAAGGGAGUUUAUGUGUACGAUCAGGAGCUCAACAGGCCUUGGUGUAAACCUACUGAAAAAACACAAAACGAGACCGUGCUACGUGAUUUGACUCGCAAAUACAUUCAUAAAUCACAGCAUGCAGGUUACGUCUGGAUCACCGUCUUCAGUGUCUUGGUGAUUGCCGUGGUGGGUAUUUAUGACUGCUACAUUAGUGGAAAAUGUAAAUGGCGCCCACGUGGACUGUCAUGCUUCUGCGGACAAACGAUGGAGACACAGAGUGAGCAACAAGAUUCUGGAGCAGAUUCUCUAAGCCUUAAUGCUGUGCAAAGCACUAUACAAAACCAGGCGGUGGUCCCUCCCUCUCAGGAGGAUGCACAGAAUCUUUGAAAGAGGGUCAUGUACAUGAAUUAAUAAUAAAUGGGUAAAUAAUUGUCAAUGGUAAAGAUAGUCUAGCUACUAUAAAUAAAUAAAUAAUAAGCUUUAAAAAUAAAAAUAAUAAGCUUUAACUGGCCUUUUCAAGCUGGCACAUUACACAAUAUAUAUAGGCUGAUUAUUCUGCCAGUACCAUGAUGUCUGACUUUCAUGUAAACUAAGAAAGAAAGCUGCCCCCCCCCCCCAAAAAAAGAGUGAAAAGUCAAAUUGCCUCAAUGUGUUUUUUUUUUUUUUUUUUUUUUUUUUUUGUGAACUAACUAUUAAGGUUUGAGAACCCUUGAUUUAAAUCAACCUGUAUAAGAAAACUUAAUUCAGGUUCACUUGAUCUCUCUUUUUUUCUCUAGCAUCACAUUUGUUAGCUAUCUCAGAGUACAAGUAUAAACAGCAAAAUGUCUUUUGAUUUUACCAUGUUAUCCUGGUGAGGGUUAGGGUUAUAUUUAUAUACUAUUUCUGAGUCAAAUAAUAUUGGGCUUUCCUGUGUGCCUGUCAACUAUCAUAUCUUAAGAGGGUAAGACUGUACACAAAUUAUGCAGAAAUGAUUACGCUGCAUGAGUUUUAAAGAUAAGGAAAAGUUUUCUUUUUUUUCACUUUAGCCUACACUUUUAAAUUAACUUCAUUGUUAUUUAUUUUUCUGUUUAAAAUACAUGAAUAAUCUGUUAUACUUGCACAAUUUUAACAAAUAAAAUCCUAUUUACAUCUCAAACAUUUAUUCAAACUACAGAUCUUUACUGAUCACUGGAAACAAACACAUUUUUGAUUUGGUUAUGAAUUUUAUUGUUGCUGUAUUACAAUAUCAUUAUAAAAAUUUCAGUUAGUAAUGUAAUCCAUUACUGUUCAUUAGCUAUUAUAAACAGACUGUUUUUUUUAAUUACUUUUAGAUUACUUUUGUUAGAUUGCUAACUCAUUUUUCAAAUUAAUUUAAAUAAGAUAAUGUUUUAUUAACACCCAUUCACCGCCAGGACAAGUCUGAUUUUAUUCAUCAAAAAAAAAAAAAAAAAAAAAAGAAAGUAAUAUGCACCUAUGAUGGCUUUGAUAGUGAGUGAAUCUCUGGGUUAUUUUAAUUUUUGGGUGAACUAUCCCUUUAUGUUGCAUAGACAGAGUCAUAAAGUAGAUACAAAGAUUCAGUAGAACAAGAAAGAAGUAAAUAAAAUAAAAUAAAGAAAAACAGAAAACAACAGGGACACAAAAUGAAUACCCGAGGCUCCUGAUGAUAUAUUGAGUACUUGUGAAGUGAAAAGUUCAGUCUGUGCAAGAAAUGGAACAUUAUUUACAACAUGAUUACCUGUAAUCAAUAUCCUCAAGGAAAUCCAAUUCUUUUCCGCAAACUGGUUCUUUCAGAAGGUCUUAGAAUCUUGAAUUUUCUUUUUUCUUUUUUUUUUUUUUUUUUUUUUGUGAACUUUCCGUUUAACACACUAAGGGACUGUUUACACACUUCUGUGUUUAAACACUACAAGUUUUUGCCAUAAUUGUAGUUUUUCUAUGCAAACGUAGGUUCAGAGGACAUCUUUUGACCAUUGACCUCUUUUCAUGUCAGAAAGCCACAUCAAGUUAAGAAAAAACAUGCCUCAAGACCUUGAGAGUUAAUUCCAUUUUUAUCUUGAUAAAACAUGUAGCUUUUAUUAGUUAUUAAUACGCUUACAAAAAGUUUUAUUUUUUUUUAUUUUUUUUUAAAACAAAGUGUAUAAAUAAAGACGUUCAUUUAUUGAAUUGACAGGAACAAAUAUGUAGGCUACAUCCUACUACCCCAUAUAUACGAGCUGUGUGAAUAUGUUGUAAGAAACAUAAAUCGACAAAUACAUAAAGUAGACUGAUUUCGAUUGUUCUUUUAGCUUUUCAGUAAUAGUUUUGUUAUCUGCUGGAAAGAUAUGAGAAAUGUAUUUUUCAACUCUAUUUGCAUUCUAACUGGUUGUUCAAUUCAGUUUUGUUAACCAAUAAGAUACGUACUCAUUACUGUUUACCUAUGUCAUAUCUGUGCACUUUGCGUGUAGCCCUCCACCUCCCCAGCACCACCUGCCUAUAUCUGCUAUGGGGGAUUGCCGCAGCAAAGCAGAUCUAGUCCACCAAGACCAAACCUAUUCACAUUGUAUUUACAUUAGUUAAAUUACUUUGGAUAAAAGCGUCUGCUAAAUGAGUAAAUGUAAAUAAAAAUGAAAAUGUAAAUGUAAUCGCUGACACGGUGUGGUGCGGGAGAGAAGCACAUAAUCGAGGAAGAAGAUGAAAGAAAGUCUUUAAUAAUCCGCAUAGGAGUAAUCGAUAAGGAGGCAGAAACACACAUACACAUUGACGAGACCGGACAACCAAACACUGAACUAAAUGCAUCUUAUAAGGUAAACGUUAAUGAGGGUACAAGACACUGACAAGACACUCCUGAACAUAAUGACACAAUCAACACGAGACAGAAACUAGGUGACAGAAAAUAUGAGGAAUGAAAACACAACAAGAAAGUUCUGUGGUGUGACAAUCACAUACAAAAUGAAAGUAAUUAUUUAUUUUAUUUAUUUUUUACAUAGCAUCCUUUUCUUAAAUAUAUACAUGCCUGUGUUUGUAUAUACAUAAUAAAUAUAUACAGCACACACACACACAUAUAUUAAGUAAACAAAAACUUGUAUUUGGGAUGUAUACAUGCCUGCACUUUAUAUGACCUAAUAAAUUAACAUAGACUGUAAGCAGUAAGAUAAACGAUACAGUCUGAAGACUUUUUAAUAUUUCUGUUCAAUCAAACCAUUCAAGUGUAAAUUAUAUCAUAAUUGUAAUAAAACAUAGAAAAUAAGGCAGAAUCAAAAAAAAAUUGUCUGGUUUUCUGAGAAUAAAAAGAUUUAACACUUAUUCCUGAGAUUCUUGGUGCACCUCUUCCCUCCGCCUUUUUGAAUAUAUGAAGCAAUAUCAAAAUAAUACAGCACUAGAUGGGACUUUAAAUAUCAGAUUUGUAAAAUGAAUAAAAUUGCUAGUGUUUUAUAGCAGUCUUCACUGACAAUGGAAACUUCAGCAAACUGUAUGUAUAUACAGAGCAGAAGUGUAGGUAGUGUCACGUUUUUUUCUGUCACAAGUUGUUCUCACUGAAAAACCACUUCUUUUUUUUAUUUUCUGUUCAAAUGUAUGGCAAAGCAUCCUUUAAAUAUUAAUGCAGAAGCAGAAUUUAACCACACAUCGACAACAUAUCACUACAGAAAAGAAGAACACAAUCGGGAUCUGUGCACCAUAUAAAGACAUCAGUGAGACAGAGAUGCCACUAACUAAAUGUUUUUCUUCAGUUUUUAAGAAAAUAUUUGCAUUUCUGAAACGAUAUUCUUUUGUAUUCAUUUUUCUAUUGAGUCUUUUGUUAAUCGGAUUUGAAGAGUUCCUGGAAGCAAAAGUUUUUUCAUGCCCGUGCAGACAUGAUCUGAAUGUACAACUAACGGCGUGCGUCUUCAUCGGACCUGCUCUCUUUAUUUUCGAACUACUCUUCCUCUUUUUAAGGCCUUUUAGAGAGAAAUGCAGUCAUUUUUCUGAAGGAGCAGAUGAUGAUACUCAGCAGAACUGUCCUAAAGCUUUCACAUCAUGUCUGAUUCCACCUAUAAUGUGGGCCAUCAUUUUGUUACUCGAUGGAGAUUACUUUGCUUGUGCCAUGACAUAUUGGAAGGGAAUUUCCACAUUUGACAGUCAGCUCAACAGAUCGUGGUGUAAACCUAUCGAAAAGUUCAGAAAUGUGACAGCGCUUCGAAAUUUGACUCAAACACAUAUCCAUCAAUCUCAGAUAUAUGGUUAUGGUGUGAGCACGGUCUUCAUCGUCUUUCCAAUUAUCUGUGUGGGAAUUAUUGACUGCUGUGGAAAAUCUGCCUGCUGUUCCAGAGCUGGACGUGGCUGAACACAAAUGGACACAACCAUGAACAUCUAUCUAUCUUACCUAUUAUUGGAUCAUUAUAUAAUAUUAAUGCAGCUCCAAAAGAGGAACAUGCCUCAUCUGCCCUCCCAACUUAAUGUGAUCAAUUUCAAAAGCGAAAGUGAAAGUAAAAAAAAAAAAAAAUGCAUGCACAAAAAAAGCGAUUGCAUUAGCGAUUUCAGAUUGCACGCUUCUCACUCGAACCAGACAUCCAUGUGACUUGUUGGCAUUAUAUGCUGAGCUAACAACAACACAGCACAGAAAAUGAAAGAACAACUGAUGCCCAGUUCCUCCGUGAGUGGUUUAAAAUGAUCCAGAAUUUGUUGUUUUGGUCCUUACAACAUAGUCCACAAUGUGCUGAAAGAAGCAGUCUUUGUAAACUUGCAAAAAAAAAUAAUUACUAAACCUACACAAAAAGCAACAUCUUUGCAUGAACAGUGUUUUUUAACACAAACACACAC